UUUAUUCGAGAGAACAUCUUUCUUUUUAUAUUAUACGGUCACACAAUUUUGAGCCGUGCGAUCGAAUUGUUUUGCGAUGUUAAAAUAAUAUAUUGUUAUUUAAUCCGAUGCAGACGAAUACAUAUAUGUAUAUAUAUAUAUUGAAUUACGUUCUAUGUUUUUUCCCGCCUAACGGAAAAAUCGAUUUAGAUCGAACUGCGUUGCGCGCCUUUUCGAAUUUUCUGUUUCUAACGAAAUUACGCAGAGGGCGGUAACUUCCCGCUGCAAAUCCAGUUCCCUUGACGCAGUUAUUGUUUUCGAUCGGAGAUUCAAUAAUUUGAACGUUUGAAAUGUUAACUGGCUGAAGAAUACGGAAGAAUAUGGACUGAAAGAUAAGACCCACGUUUCAUUAACAUCGGUUUACCAGGUUACGGAUGUUCCAUCAAUUAGCGCGUAUGCUAGAGCACUUGCCGAUAACAAAAGAAUAGUGUAAUUCUCCAACAAUGCACGCUUCUAUAUCUGAUAAGAAAUAGAACUUCCGAUAACGUUGAUCAGAACGUCAGUUUCCUUUUUCCGGCGUUCAACGUCAAUUUAUUCUUUUACUCUUCGACGUUCGAUCAAUUUGCGAAAAUGCAAGCCACAUCGAGCACAAUUGUACGUAGUUAAUUAUAUAGAUAGAAGGGGUAGAAGGGGAUAGAAGGAGUCGGGUGAUGAGUUUUACGACUUGACGUCGCGUCCCUGGAAUUUAUGCGACGUACCCAAAAUUUGGGAUGGAUCGAAAUUCUAAGAAACAUGACGAAAACAUCGAUUGCCGUGAUUACGAAAGCAUUUUGCGUCACUCGUUCACGGUGUAAUACGUUGUUUUUGAUCGGUUGCGGCGAAAGUUAGGCUCCGGCGCGCGGCCGGUUCGAUUCGAAGAAAGGGAAUUCGACGUGGCUCGUAACACUCUCCCCCUCUGCUAAGCAUCGGUCAAGACCGUGUAAUCGGAAAUUACCGGUUACGCGGUUUCGUGCAAAAUGCCGAAUUCUACCCAGCGAGGAAUCCAGUCGAAUGGUGCCAUCCGUGGCCGAACUUUCGUCGCCGCGAGAGUUCGACAACGUUUCCGCAAAUAAUCGUGUAAACAUGCCAAAACGGGACGAGACAAAAUACAAUCGCUCGUGUAAAAGCU